UUUUGCAUUUUAAAAUACCACUUUUGAUUUGGAUGAAACUAAAUAUCUGUACAAAGGACACAACGCAAAGUUUUUGAUUUCUCUCAAAACAUAUAUUUCUUUUCAUGUUGAACAGAUAAUAUCUUUAAUUUGAGUCAAAGUGAUUUGCACUUGAACACGCCCACCAGAAAUAGACCGGGACCCAUUUUUAUUCUGCAUGGCUGCUGGAAACAUCGUGUCACAUCUUUGAUUAAUUUCAUCUGAAAAUAAACAACCACAGAUCGCUCCAUCCAUUCCAUGGCUGAAGCAUACAUUUUCAUUUAAUCUGAACAGAUAUCCCAGAAAGAUGAAGCUGAGGAAGAGCUGCAGAGUAACCACCAUGGCACUCUUCAUCUUCAGGGACAACUCAAGCCUCCUACAUCAGCGUCGAGACAUCGGGAUAAUCAUUGAUGGUGUGGAAGUCCUGAAUGAGUUGCCUUCUGUGGCAGCUGGAGUGGCAAUGGUCUUUGGACUCUGUUAUGCUCUUAAAAUGGAAUAUCCACGAGGAUUCAGGUUCACCUUUGAGGCUCUUCAAAAGAUUAUGAUGGAGCUUGACUUUAACAAGAUGACCUCUAAGAUUCGCAAACUUAAUUGUGAACUUAACACUGCACAGUAGUGUGUUUGCAUGC